rnacentral:lncRNA from 1 species
CGGCAAUGGCAGUCGGCAUGGAGCAGUUCGAUCUGCUGGUUCAGCAGAUCAGGGGCCACACCGAAGCAGUGCAGGCCAUGCAGAAGUAGCAGCAGCAGCCGUAGGCAUCUGUGUGGCUGGAAAGAGCAUCGUCGGAGUUUCAGAAUCCAGCGAUCGGACGGCUCACUUGGGCUAGUCGCCCUGUCUUCCCUGGAAAGGGGAAGCAGAGGGCGGAGAGCCCUCCGUCUGAUCAUGAUUCUACCCCCGGAGGGUCCCUACCUCCGUUCUGUCAGAAGAUCCUCGAGACUCGCAGUCGAGAGGAUCUCUUGGAUCAAAGGUUCC